ACUCCUGCGGGAGGCAGCAGUGGGGAAUAUUGCACAAUGGGCGCAAGCCUGAUGCAGCCAUGCCGCGUGUAUGAAGAAGGCCUUCGGGUUGUAAAGUACUUUCAGCGGGGAGGAAGGCGAUAAGGUUAAUAACCUUGUCGAUUGACGUUACCCGCAGAAGAAGCACCGGCUAACUCCGUGCCAGCAGCCGCGGUAAUACGGAGGGUGCAAGCGUUAAUCGGAAUUACUGGGCGUAAAGCGCACGCAGGCGGUCUGUCAAGUCGGAUGUGAAAUCCCCGGGCUCAACCUGGGAACUGCAUGCGAAACUGGCAGGCUAGAGUCUUGUAGAGGGGGGUAGAAUUCCAGGUGUAGCGGUGAAAUGCGUAGAGAUCUGGAGGAAUACCGGUGGCGAAGGCGGCCCCCUGGACAAAGACUGACGCUCAGGUGCGAAAGCGUGGGGAGCAAACAGGAUUAGAUACCCGUGUAGUCCCA
rnacentral:rRNA from 1 species